UACGUAGGGGGCAAGCGUUGUCCGGAAUCAUUGGGCGUAAAGAGCGUGUAGGCGGCCCGGUAAGUCUGUUGUGAAAGUCCAGGGCUCAACCCUGGAAAGCCGAUGGAUACUGCCGGGCUAGAGUUCGGAAGAGGCGAGUGGAAUUCCUGGUGUAGCGGUGGAAAUGCGCAGAUAUCAGGAGGAACACCAUAGUAGCGAAGGCAGCUCGCUGGGACG
rnacentral:rRNA from 1 species